rnacentral:pre_miRNA from 1 species
CAAAUACUCCCUCCGUCCGAAAAUACUUGUCCUAAAAAUGGUUGAAAAUGAAUGUAUCUAUAACUAAAAUAAGUCUAGAUACAACCAUUUCUAAGACAAGUAUUUCCGGACGGAGGGAGUAAUUG